UACGUAGGUGGCAGGCGUUGUCCGGAUUUAUUGGGUUUAAAGGGUGCGUAGGCGGCCUUGUAAGUCAGUGCUGAAAUAUCCCGGCUUAACCGGGAGGGUGGCAUUGAUACUGCAGGGCUUGAGUAAAGUUGAGGUUGGCGGAAUUGACGGUGUAGCGGUGAAAUGCUUAGAUAUCGUCAAGAACACCGAUAGUGAAGACAGCUAACUAAGCUUUAACUGACGCUGAGGCACGAAAGUGUGGGGAUCAAACAGG
rnacentral:rRNA from 1 species